UACUGAAAUAACAUUUAUAUUUAAAUUUUGUUUCAUUUUACUGGGAUCCAAACAGUCAAGUUGUAAAAUUCCCUCAAAUGGAUACCUAGCAUUUUCAUGAAUUCUAGUUUUGUUUCGAUUAAAAGAAUUUUCCGGCUGGGCGACUCAAAUGGAAUGAUGUAGCUAGCAGGGUUAGUUGGGCACGCAAGUCAGUUGAUGGACUCUCUCUUUGGGGCAUCGCAUACCAUUCCAUUACGAUUCCUGACUGGCUGUGGCAAGUGACUGGCAGCUGCGUGAGCUGAAGUGAAUGGAAUGGAUUGGGACAGGACAUGAACAUCAACAAGAGGAGCAACGAGCAGGAAAAGGACUUCACUCAAUUUGACAAACAUGACACAGAAACCCUCGGAGCUGACUUGCAUUUUGCCCUCCUCCCCCUCCACUUCCGCUAUCCGCAUCCUUAAUGGACAAAGAUACCCCCAGCUAGACGACGCAACUCGUCUUCGUCCAUGUCUCGUCUUCCUUAUACACUUGUUCAAACUUACUCCUCGUCUGCGUUCUGCGUUGCCAAUUAAAUUUUUAAAAUGCCAUUUCGCAACCUAUUUCCAGCGCCUGUGCAAAUGAAAAAUGCCAACUGCGUGCGUGUAAGGACUGCAGGACGAGACAGGACACGACAACAGCAAUAUUUUCACAAAAUAAACCUUAAUUGAAUUUGUUGACAAGAGUUUGUCUUCCAGACAA